rnacentral:rRNA from 1 species
UAGGGAAUCUUCGGCAAUGGGGGCAACCCUGACCGAGCAACGCCGCGUGAGUGAAGAAGGUUUUCGGAUCGUAAAGCUCUGUCGUAAGAGAAGAACGUGUGUGAGAGUGGAAAGUUCACACAGUGACGGUAACUUACCAGAAAGGGACGGCUAACUACGUGCCAGCAGCCGCGGUAAUACGUAGGUCCCGAGCGUUGUCCGGAUUUAUUGGGCGUAAAGCGAGCGCAGGCGGUUUAAUAAGUCUGAAGUUAAAGGCAGUGGCUUAACCAUUGUUCGCUUUGGAAACUGUUAAACUUGAGUGCAGAAGGGGAGAGUGGAAUUCCAUGUGUAGCGGUGAAAUGCGUAGAUAUAUGGAGGAACACCGGUGGCGAAAGCGGCUCUCUGGUCUGUAACUGACGCUGAGGCUCGAAAGCGUGGGGAGCAAACAGG